AACGCGUGGGAAUGUACCCUUCUCUACGGAAUAGCCUCGGGAAACUGAUAGUAAUACCGUAUACGCCCUUCGGGGGAAAGAUUUAUCGGAGAAGGAUCAGCCCGCGUAAGAUUAGAUAGUUGGUGGGGUAAUGGCCUACCUUUUCUACGAUCUUUAUCUGGUUUUAGAGGAUGAUCAGCAACACUGGGACUGAGACACGGCCCAGACUCCUACGGGAGGCAGCAGUGGGGAAUCUUGGACAAUGGGCGCAAGCCUGAUCCAGCCAUGCCGCGUGUGUGAUGAAGGCCUUAUGGUCGUAAAGCACUUUCGCUAGAGAUGAUAAUGACAGUAUCUAGUAAAGAAGUCCCGGCUAACUCCGUGCCAGCAGCCGCGGUAAUACGGAGGGGACUAGCGUUGUUCGGAAUUACUGGGCGUAAAGCGUACGUAGGCGGAUCAGAAAGUAUGGGGUGAAAUCCCAGGGCUCAACCCUGGAACUGCCUCAUAAACUCCUGGUCUAGAGUUCGAGAGAGGUGAGUGGAAUUCCGAGUGUAGAGGUGAAAUUCGUAGAUAUUCGGAGGAACACCAGUGGCGAAGGCGGCUCACUGGCUCGAUACCGACGCUGAGGUACGAAAGUGUGGGGAGCAAACAGGAUUAGAUACCCUGGUAGUCCACACCGUAACGAUGAAUGCCAGUCGUCGGGUAGCAUGCUAUUCGG
rnacentral:rRNA from 1 species